rnacentral:sRNA from 1 species
GAAAUAAAUAAAUGCAAACAAUGAUUGGCAUAUAUCUUGAUAAGCUAGUUAUUGCUGUUGUUGUUGUUGUUGAUACAAGUUGUUAAUAUAAUUUGUUUUUGUCUUUGUUG